rnacentral:rRNA from 1 species
CCUACGGGUGGCAGCAGUGAGGAAUAUUGGUCAAUGGGCGUAAGCCUGAACCAGCCAAGUCGCGUGAGGGAUGAAGGCUCUAUGGAUCGUAAACCUCUUUUAUAAGGGAAUAAAGUGUAGGACGUGUCCUAUUUUGUAUGUACCUUAUGAAUAAGGAUCGGCUAACUCCGUGCCAGCAGCCGCGGUAAUACGGAGGAUCCGAGCGUUAUCCGGAUUUAUUGGGUUUAAAGGGUGCGUAGGCGGACUUUUAAGUCAGCGGUGAAAGUCUGUGGCUCAACCAUAGAAUUGCAGUUGAAACUGGGGGGCUUGAGUAUGGUAGAGGCAGGCGGAAUGCGUGGUGUAGCGGUGAAAUGCUUAGAUAUCACGCAGAACGCCGAUUGCGAAGGCAGCCUGC